GAUGAAGAACGCAGCGAAAUGCGAUAAGUAAUGUGAAUUGCAGAAUUCAGUGAAUCAUCGAAUCUUUGAACGCACAUUGCGCCCGUCAGUAUUCUGGCGGGCAUGCCUGUUCGAGCGUCAUUACGCCCCUCAAGUCCCCUGUGGACUUGGUGUUGGGGAUCGGCGAGGCUGGUUUUCCAGCACAGCCGUCCCUUAAAUUAAUUGGCGGUCUCGCCGUGGCCCUCCUCUGCGCAGUAGUAAAACACUCGCAACAGGAGCCCGGCGCGGUCCACUGCCGUAAAACCCCCCAACUUUUUAUAGUUGACCUCGAAUCAGGUAGGACUACCCGCUGAACUUAAGCAUAUCAAGAAGCGGAGGA
rnacentral:misc_RNA from 1 species